GACGAACGCUGGCGGCGUGCCUAAUACAUGCCAGUUGAGCGCUGAAGGUUGGUACUUGUACCGACUGGAUGAGCAGCGAACGGGUGAGUAACGCGUGGGGAAUCUGCCUUUGAGCGGGGGACAACAUUUGGAAACGAAUGCUAAUACCGCAUAAAAACUUUAAACACAAGUUUUAAGUUUGAAAGAUGCAAUUGCAUCACUCAAGGAUGAUCCCGCGUUGUAUUAGCUAGUUGGUGAGGUAAAGGCUCACCAAGGCGAUGAUACAUAGCCGACCUGAGAGGGUGAUCGGCCACAUUGGGACUGAGACACGGCCCAAACUCCUACGGGAGGCAGCAGUAGGGAAUCUUCGGCAAUGGACGAAAGUCUGACCGAGCAACGCCGCGUGAGUGAAGAAGGUUUUCGGAUCGUAAAACUCUGUUGGUAGAGAAGAACGUUGGUGAGAGUGGAAAGCUCAUCAAGUGACGGUAACUACCCAGAAAGGGACGGCUAACUACGUG
rnacentral:rRNA from 1 species